GGCCCCAAGCCGGUCCCAGCCGCUUCGUAAGCCAUUGAUUGAACGAGCGAUGAAAUCCCCAUUCUAAGGGGAAGGUCGCCCGUUCGAAUCGGGCCGGGGUCACCA
rnacentral:tRNA from 1 species